UACAGAGGUCCCAAGCGUUGUUCGGAUUCACUGGGCGUAAAGGGUGCGCAGGCGGCCAAGUGUGUUAGGUGUGAAAGCCCGGGGCUUAACCCCGGAAUUGCACCUAAAACUACAUGGCUAGAGCAUUGGAGAGGGGAGCAGAAUUCACGGUGUAGCAGUGAAAUGCGUAGAUAUCGUGAGGAAUACCAGAGGCGAAGGCGGCUCCCUGGACAAUUGCUGACGCUCAGGCACGAAAGCGUGGGGAGCAAAAGGG
rnacentral:rRNA from 1 species